UCUCUUAUUCUUGUCUGAGACUCCCAAGACUCUCAUUCUCAGACUCACUUCCUCAACUUUCCAUUCUCUCGAUCUCUCCUCCCUCGAUCUCUCCUCCUUGAAUCUCCUUCAACCUUCCAACAUGCAAAAUCUCCUUGAAUCUCCUUUAUCGCCGCCACCAUCAUCAUCAGACCUCGAUCUAGGGUUUACACUGAGGCUUCGCCGUCGAUGAGCUAGGGUACCGGGAGGUGGGCCUGAGAAGAGCUUCGGGUCCAGAUCCUACUCCGACGUGUACAUAGCCCUCCGAAUCUCCGUCAACCUUACCGUGAGGUCCGCGGCUACCAGUCGGCGUUACGAGAAAUCGAAGCCCUCCGCCGCCAUUGAUGGGUUGAUGAAUCCAAAUGGGUUCUCGAAUUAUAUGCUUUUUUAUCAAAGGAUUCAAUGAGGAAUUGAGGAUUGUUGUUGGAACUUGGGCGUUGGAUGUGUGUCACUGUGAUUGUGCAGUUGCAAAUUGCAAUCUGUGCAGUUUGCAAACUGUGCAGUGCAGUUAA
rnacentral:sRNA from 1 species